AAGCAUAUGGCGGGUUUGGGUGAUGGUUGUUAUGGGUAGCAGGCGAAGGAGCUUGAGAAAUUGGUGAUGGAACAUAUGGAGGAUUAGGUGAUGGUUGUUAUGAGCAGGGGAAGGAGCCUGUGGUGGAGUUGGAGAAUGAUAAGGUGGUUGAAAAAUUGGUGUUGGUACAUAUGGAGAAGGUAAUGAUCUUGGUGUUCCUGGUGGAACAAUUGGAGUGUAUGGAGGGUUAUGGCCAGGGAAGGGAGCUUGUGAAAGAGGGGGAUGAUGAUUAACUUAAAUAACAUUUACUACUUUUCUGCCAGUAUUGAAUUGCCUAUGUGCUUCACAAAAUAAUUUCUUUAGAAUCUCUAUUUAACUGUGUAACGUGUCUUAUUCAAAUUUGCAGGCUGCUUUUCUGUCAGCUUUGGUUGGAUCAGAGGUUGCAUAUUCUGCUGCACAAGCUACAGUGGCAACUCUCUCGGAGGCUUACGAAACAACUAAAAAUCAUCGAUCAUUCCCAAGAAACACAUCACUACAAGGCAGUGGAAAUUCAUGGCUGCAACAUGGUUUUAAUUCAACAAAUACUUCUGGCAUCAAUGAAUACAGGUAAGGUCCUUUAUAUUCUGUAUUCCCUACGAAACCGGCUCAAGUUUCCUCUGUGCAGGACCUUUUUGAGUUUAUAUGCUCAGGGCCUUUGCUAGAAAAAAUAGGUGUGACUGCAGAGAUGGUUGCAGAGUACAUAGAUAAGUGGUUGUUAUACGGUCGGCUGCUAUCUCAAUUGUUUCAGUUGAACGAGUUGUACUUAACGGUGCCUCAAAAAGCUAGGAUCUAUCAA